CAAAGCGCCCGGCGACGUCACGGAGCCGAUCGGACGGACCGCGGGCUGGACCCAGGCUGGAUUGGACCGAGAUCGAACCAGAGUGAUAUCCGGGGACCAUAGACCGCCUGGUCCUGCUCACUGUACGGAAUAAUCGUCUAGUGCAAGAGCCGGUAAAAUUCGAAAUGCUUCGAGUUCUGGUGGUGGUGGCAAGCCUGGGGCUGCUGGAGGCGCAGACUACCGAACUUGUUACGACGAAUGUGCUGAUCCAGCCACUGGAUAACAUCAAAACCAGGGGCACCCAGGCGUUCGUGGGCGCGAUAGGGGUCGGCACGCCGCCGCAGAUGAUGCCAGUGACCUUUGACACGACCUCUGACGUAUCAUACGUGGUCUCGGCCAACUGCACGGCACCCGUGUGUGCAGCGCGGCCGCAGUACGACGCUGCACUCUCGUCUACC